GUAGGUGAACCUGCGGAAGGAUCAUUAACGUGGGGCUUCGGCCCCAUUGAGAUAGCACCCUUUGUUUAUGAGUACCCUUGUUUCCUCGGUGGGCUUGCCCGCCAUGAGGACCCUAUAAAACCCUUUGUAGUAGCAGUAACUUCAGUUAAAAACAAAUAUUAAAACUUUCAACAACGGAUCUCUUGGUUCUG
rnacentral:misc_RNA from 1 species